GCGCAGCAGGCGCGAAUACUUUACAAUGUGCGAAAGCACGAUAAGGGAACUCUGAGUGCCUCCUAAGGAGGCUGUUCUGAUGUCUAAAAGCAACAGAAGUAAGGGCUGGGUAAGACCGGUGCCAGCCGCCGCGGUAACACCGGCAGCCCAAGUGGUAGCCACGUUUAUUGGGUCUAAAGCGUUCGUAGCCGGCCAGGUAAGUUCCUUGGUAAAUUUAGCCGCUUAACGGUUAAGCUUUCAGGGAAUACUGCUUGGCUUGGGACUGGGAGAGGUCAGAGGUACUCCGAGGGUAGGGGUGAAAUCUAUUAAUCCCUGGGGGACCACCGGUAGCGAAGGCGUCUGACCAGACCAGGUCCGACGGUGAGGGACGAAGGCUAGGGGCGCGAACCGGAUUAGAUACCCCCGUAGU
rnacentral:rRNA from 1 species